rnacentral:ribozyme from 1 species
CUGUGUGUGUCAUUGACACGCUCUUCGUACACAUGUCUGUCAGUGAGCAGGGAAGUGAGCUUUAACUUUCGACGGUAUACAAAAUACCAGUGAAACGAAGAAAAGCGGGGGC